CCAGGAAUCUUUCAUAUCGGAUUUGAGGGCUCUAAAUCCAGAACUUUGCAUUACAGCAGCAUAUGGGAAUAUUUUACCGUCUAACUUUCUUGAUAUUCCACCAUAUGGUACUGUCAAUGUCCACCCAAGUUUGCUGCCUCUGUACCGUGGGGCUGCACCAGUCCAAAGAGCUCUACAGGAUGGAGUCGAGGAAACUGGAGUAUCACUUGCAUAUACAGUUCGUGCAUUGGAUGCUGGCCCAGUUAUUUCACAUGAAAAAGUGGAAGUUGAUGACUACAUUAAGGUGAAUCAUUAAUGCAUCCUCUUUAGUAACUUCAUUAUGAGAAACAGUUUGACUUGUGCGUUGUUUGC